GUUUACCACAUUUCUUGAAUACUUUAUAUAACUAUUAAAACAAAAAAGAAAAGGAAUAAAUAAAGGCCGAUGCACAUAUUUUUGGGUUUUAUUUGUAUCUAGGUUUGAUAGAAAAGGAUAGGAGGAUUCAAUGAAGUUGAAUAAACAGAUUGAUAUAUUCGUACAACCAGAGAAUGAUAUCUUGAAUAUCAUGAUAUCUAUUUCCGAAGCGAAAAAGAAGUUCAUCAUAUUUCGUUGACGAUUAAUUUAAUAAUUAAAAUAAUUGCAGUCCAUACAAUGACUGAAAGGUUUAGCUGAAGCUUACGCACUCGACAUUAAUAAGACACUAGAUACUAUAAUUAUCAUGUUGCUUAUGUGGUAUCCUAGUAACAGCCAUACGUAGAUGACACGGACCACAUUUAAGAAGGAUUUUUCAAAAUUUUUCUUAUCAGGUUGCUACUUUCAUCGCUACCGCAAAAGAUUCAAAAGAUCACGAGAGAGAAAGAGUUUCUACCAAAGCGCUUCCAGAGUAACUUUGAUACAUCCGAUGCUGGGACAUCGCCAAUUUAGACGCCAAGACUGCGAUACGCCCACUCUUCGUGACGCAUUUAAAAAAGCAUUGAUAAUCGAAACGAAGAUUUCAUUUAAUGCGAAUAGUAUUGACCAUCAUGCUAACUGCAAACAAUUAAUAAAUAUUGCCUUAACAAAUAUCCGCAGAGCAAGCAGAUAAACGACAAUAAAGACAAACCGAACAGGAAAGGGAAAUCAUGCAAGCAAUGCGGUUGGAAAAGCCACGGUUUCUUGCAAAAUAGCCCACUUUGCCUCAGUUUGUCGGUCAAAAUCAAAAGUUUAGGUAAGUCUCACGGUGGCUUAUCCACGUUAUCAGCAGAAAUUGACAGUGUUGAUGUUAUAACCGCAAGUGGCUCGAAUAGAAGUUAUUGGUUGAUCCCUAGGUGGUCUUAUAAUUUGGUUCAGUACUUUUGUCUGCUUACAGACAUCGCAGGUGGAAACAAGCUCUGAGAUGUGUUUAACCAUUUUCGGCCAAUAGGAAAAGCUUUUUAAACGAUAAAUGGUUUUUUCUAUGCCUCCAUGAGCACUCAAUGGAUGCUCAUGUGCAAGUUUGAUUAAAUCAGCUUUAAGAUCUGAUGGAACCUAUAAUUUCGACGAAUUUUGCUCUUGAACCGCAUUUCCUGUAGUAUACUCGGUUCGCUUAGAAAUACAAUCGUCUCGAAUCACCACCUCAGGUGACUCUUCCAACUUGGAUUGAAGACGUUCUUCUAAAGAAGCAGAAUUGAAAUGCAUCCGAAGUCAAAUUAAAUUUCGAUAAAGUAAGUCAAGUGUUCUAAAAACUAUUACUAUUUUCGAGGACGUCGGAAUGAACACGGGAUAACAAAUCAGGCACAUCAUGUUGACUGCUUAAUUUUUUUAUUGAGAAGUUCAAAUCUUGCAACUUCAAUGACCAUCGUGCCAACCGACCGUGAAAGUUCUUUUGGAAUAUUAACAAUUUGGUUUUAGGAUAUUAGGAUAACCUUAAAAGUAUACACGCCUAUCUGGUGGGCAAUCUUGGAACCCAUCACCACUUUGCGAACAAUUCCAAUACGUUGUUACUUUGUAUUCUUCAAUCGUAUCACAAACUAUCUCUUUAGAGAACUUGCACUUGUUUAAUUCUUCCUUUACUAAUCCACUUCCCAAAACGAAGUCGAAAUGAAUUAGUACAUUGUGGACUACAGAAGGUAAAUUCAUUUUCAAAAUCUCAUCUAAUUUUUUAUCAGGUAUAGGAACUCCAAGUCUAUUAAUCAGUUGCAUAAUUGCAUCGUAAUAAGAAUCGAACGUCUCAAUCGCCUUUUGCUUUUCAUUACGGAUCAGGUCUCUUAAGUCCUAAUGAUGAAAUGAGAGAAAAAAAUAUAAUAUACGAUUAAUAAAUUCAAAAAAAAACAAUAUAUAAUGAAAUGCGUCAGUCGCGUAAGAAACGAGCAGAAAUUUAAUUAGGGUAAGACAAAAGGUCCCUCGGAUUGUUUAUCGGUAAGUUAGAAAAUCACACUCGUCCAAAAUUAUGUUUCUUCUUUCGAAUUAGCACAAGGCAUUAGCCCUCAUUAACUAAGCUUUAUAGCAAACAGUGGAUGGUUUGAGCCUAAAUCACAGCUUGGCGACAAUAGUGUCAAAGCUAUUUACAAAUGAACCCUCUACAGUCAACUACUGCACCAUGCCAUACAUUCAGAAAUAAAUGUUUGAUUCGUCUAUGCAGGAUACAAAGAAGAGUACAUAAAAUGAGAAAAACAGUGAUCUGACGAUGGCAAUAUGAGCAAAUGGUCAACAAUUCCAAGCUGUUUUUACUCAUAUCUCGAACCCAUGGAUAUAUACCUAAAUAAAAGACAUAACAUUUAUGUAUCAUAUUAACUAGCGAUGAAUUUUUCAAAGCCUCACGUCAGUGGGAAACCAUAUUAAACUACUGAGAUGGGCUCCACGUAGAUGCGAAACCAUCAAACUUUAUAAAGAUAGGCCCCACGUUGGGCGCCAAUUUUUAUGGAACAUAGGGGGUCUCUCUAGAGUGCCACUUAAAGAGGAUUGAGGGCUGUACAGAUUGUCGUACGUGUCAUAGCUGAGCUAACUAGUUCAUAUGAUGAGGAGGGUGAAAUUUAAAUUUUUGUCUCACGUACACUGCACAGGCGAUUACACCUAAAAAAAUGCAAAUGCUUUACGCUUAUACGAAUAGACGGACAGACGAAACCUAUGUUACCGAAAGGACAUAUCCUAAGUCUUGGAGUAUUCUGCUAUUGUCUAUGAUAUCUCUGGGAAAUCUCGAAGUUGGGUCCGAGCAUCCCUUUUCAUACAUAUUAUGUUCCUCUCUAUAUUCUUUGUAUUAUUAUUUUUUGUAUGCAUUCUUACAAUGUUAAAUUCUUUUACUUUUCAAUACAUUGAUUUAUAUAAUAAAUGUAACUCACGUUAAUUGUUAUUCUAAUUUACAAUUUUUUUUUUAUAUUUUUACAAGUAGGAGUAUAUUUAUUUUUCUAUUAAUAUUCGUUUAAAAAUACUUUUGAUCAGUCAACGUGACUUUUAUACAUUCCAUAUUUUUAAUUUUCAAAUAUAUAAACAUUAACUUAUAACUUAACAUCUCCACUUACUUUGACCAUUCUUUUUCUUUAUUUACGAUUAUGGCGUCCAGAGUUUUAGGCAGAGUGCAGAAGACAUUGUUUGCAAAUAAGUCAGUCUUAAUUUUUGGCAACAAUUUCUUUGGAGUAUACUCUGCACCACUGGUAAAAAAAAUCAACUAA